GGGGCUAUAGCUCAGCAGGAUAGAGCGACAGAUUCCUAAUCUGUAGGCCGAAGGUUCGAAUCCUUCUAGUCCCACCA
rnacentral:tRNA from 3 species